AUGCCAAAGAUCAUGCUGCUCCUGCUGCUGGUCUGCUGGACACAGGCGCAGCCGGCGGCGGAGGAGACUCCGCCUGGGGCGGGCGUGAAGGUGUCGUUCCGGCCGAGCGUGGCCAUCGUGGUGGGCAUCUUCACCAUGAUCUUCUCCCUCACCUUCCUCCUCCUCAUGUACGCCAAGUUCUGCCACCCCGCCAACACGCCCCUCCUCCCCGCCACCACCACCGCCAGCCCCUCCCGCGCGCCCGCCCCCGACGCCUUGAUCGAGUCGGAGGCCAGCGCCGGCGUGGGCAAGGCGGUCAUCGAGUCGCUGCCCUUCUUCCGGUUCGCGGCGCUGCGCGGGGCGCGGCAGGGUCUGGAGUGCGCCGUGUGCCUGGCCCGCUUCGACGACGCCGACCUGCUCCGCCUGCUCCCCCGCUGCCGCCACGCCUUCCACCUCGACUGCGUCGAUCGCUGGCUGCACUCCAGCGCCAGCUGCCCGCUCUGCCGCGCCCGCGUGCACCCCGACGACGCCGACCUCGGCCUCAAGUACGCCGCAGCCAGCGCGCGCUUUGUCUUCGGCGCAGGCGACGACGCAGCCGCCGUCGCUGCCGGCCCCGCGCCGUCGUCCGGCCGCGACCUCCUCGCCGGCAUCUUCGUCGAGCGCGUGCCGUCGGCGCGCUUCGGUGGCGAUGCUGCUGAUGACUCUAACACUAAGCUGGACCGGCACCGGCACCGCAUCGUGGUGUCGGACAGCGUGUUCAAGAGCCGGUGGAGCGACCUCAACUCGGCGGACCUCAUCGCGCUGGACACCGAGAUGCUGCGCUCCGUCUCCAGCGGGCGCUUCCCCUACCCGUAUCCCGACGACGACAUUAUCUUGGUGGGAGAGGAGCAGGAGCACGACCGAGACGAUCACGACGGCGCCCGCAUGUCCAUUGAGAUUCAGAAGAAGCGGCUGCUGGAGGUGGAGAGCGGGAGCGGCAGCAAGGGGUUGGGACUGGGAGGGUGCGGCGGGUCGGAGGCGGCGGCGUCGAGGCUGGUGUCGUCGGGCGUGCGGUCCAUGUCGGAGAUGGUGCGGCUGCCUCGGGUGGCGGUAAGGGCGACGGAGGAGGAGGAGAGGGCGCGGCAGCGGUGGGUGCCCAUCGCGCGGCGGACGGCGCGGUGGUUCGCCGCGAGGAGCAGGGAGGAGGACCGCCUCCGUGUGUAA
rnacentral:rRNA from 1 species